UGACGGAUGCGACCGCUAUAUGGAGUUCGAUUAAGCCAUGCGAGUAGACAGAAGUUAGAUACUAUGACAUACUGCUACAGUAACACGUGGAUAACAUGACCUACACUGGGGGAUAAUCUUGUGGAAACUGCGGAUAAUACCCCCAUAGACCACUACGCCUGGAACGGUGCAGUAGGUUGAAAGCUCCGUGCGGUGUAAGAUGGGGUCUGCGGCGUAUCAGGUCGUAUGGGGUGUACUGGAACUCCUAACCACUCGUACGCGUACGGGUUGUGGGAGCAAUAUCCCGGAGACGGAUUCUUGCAAACACGAAUACGGACCCUACGGGGUGCAGCACGGCGGCGAAAACUUCACACUGCAGGAAACUGUGCUGAUGGAACUCCAAGUGACUUCACACAAGUGAAAGCCAAACAUGGAAUACUUAAAAAACCUUGGCAUAAAGGGGCUGGGAAAGAAACUGUGCCAGUACGCCGCGAGGUAACACCCGGGCAGCCUCCA
rnacentral:rRNA from 1 species